GUCGGCAUUGAAAGCGACGAUUGGCAGCGAUAGAAUACAACUUUGCCGUUGUCGCGGAAAAAAAAGGGCCGUGCGUGAUUGUCAGUGCCGUGAAUAAAAGCAUCUCCGCGGGUGAUAACCAUUUCCCUAAACGGAAAAGAUCUGCCUGAUUUCUCCGGGUUUGGCGCUUGGCAUCAAAACGCCAAAUUAACCUCGCCACGAACGACUGCACCUGCGGAGGAAAGGCACGUGUGAGAUUGUGAAUCGCUCUCUAUCACUCGCAAUCUAGGCAAAAAUCUGAGUGCGAUCGGAUCUCGCAGGCGAAGGCGGAAGUUUGGACAGUCUGCACUCAAAAAGCACAAUACUCGAGGUGGUUCAACAUCGACGCACGCUACAGUUCCGAAAAAUUGCCGGAGAACAACACCAAAGGGCGAUUCCGGAUGGCAAUUCGUUUAAGUACUGGAGCUUGACAAACAUCAGCUGUCGCAGAAAACGGCUCGAAGACGAAUCGCAUGAAAUUAAAUUAUUGUUUCGAUUGACGGAGGCGACUUACGGAUCUGCAGAAUCCAGGCAGCGCAGAAAAAUCCCCACGGACUGGGGUUUUUGUGCCGGAUCGAAUUCGUCCGCCGUCGGUGCGUGAUCGUUGCUGUUUGGCUGGAGGAGAGGGGCGUGCUAGCCUCGGCGAGGGCAUCGUAGCUAUCGGUGGGGACCGGCUUCGAAACCGUCGAGUGGUGUGUACUGGUACAAGAUUGGUGACUGUGUCAUCUUCGACGAGAGUAUCGACUGCCUCGGAGGGACCCCAUCCAGCAACCCGGUCGUACUGGACGGCCAUAGGGAUCUCCAGCAGAGGAGUAUCGUCGGUGCGAACAUCGGGAGCGGCAUGCAAGAUUCGCGGCGGCGAGAUGAUCACAGCACAGGCGAAACGUAGGGGGACGCCCCGUUAGGUGGUACCGUGAGUACUGAACAAAUGAGUUUGUAAGAUGGAAGAAGUAGAGAAGAAGAAGUAAGACGAAGAGAGUAGAGAUGAGAAGGUAGUAAGUGGAAGAUUAGGACA